AAUUUUAUAGUCAAAUUAAUGAUAUUAAAUUGCAAAUUUAAAGUUGAAUGAAAAUUCUAAAAUUU
rnacentral:tRNA from 1 species